GCCAAAUCUAGGCCUGGGCUUCCAAACUGGAUAGUGCUUAUCCAGCCAGGCUUUGGCAUCUGCAUCAACCCUAUAAUUUAAUCUGUUCCCACUUUAUUUUGAAGCUUGGCCUUUGGUGGCACUUCAAUGCAGGAGAGCCAAAUAAUAA